CCUACGGGGAGCUGCAGUGGGGAAUAUUGGACAAUGGGCGAAAGCCUGAUCCAGCCAUGCCGCGUGUGUGAAGAAGGCCUUCGGGUUGUAAAGCACUUUCAGUGGGGAAGAAAGCCUUGGGGCUAAUACCCUCGAGGAAGGACAUCACCCACAGAAGAAGCACCGGCUAACUCCGUGCCAGCAGCCGCGGUAAUACGGAGGGUGCGAGCGUUAAUCGGAAUUACUGGGCUUAAAGCGCGCGUAGGCGGUCUGAUAAGCCGGUUGUGAAAGCCCCGGGCUCAACCUGGGAACGGCAUCCGGAACUGUCAGGCUAGAGUGCAGGAGAGGAAGGUAGAAUUCCCGGUGUAGCGGUGAAAUGCGUAGAGAUCGGGAGGAAUACCAGUGGCGAAGGCGGCCUUCUGGACUGACACUGACGCUGAGGUGCGAAAGCGUGGGUAGCAAACAGGAUUAGAUACCCUGGUAGUC
rnacentral:rRNA from 1 species